rnacentral:rRNA from 1 species
UACGUAGGGUGCGAGCGUUGUCCGGAAUUAUUGGGCGUAAAGAGCUCGUAGGCGGUUUGUCGCGUCUGCUGUGAAAACCUAAGGCUCAACCUUGGGCUUGCAGUGGGUACGGGCAGACUAGAGUGCGGUAGGGGUGACUGGAAUUCCUGGUGUAGCGGUGAAAUACGUAGAUAUCUGGAGGAACACCGGCGGCGAAGGCGGUUCACUGGACAUGUACUGACACUGAGAUACGAAAGCGUGGGGAGCAAACAGG